UACGUAGGAGACGAGCGUUGUCCGGAAUCACUGGGCGUAAAGCGCGUGUAGGCGGAUGAGCAAGUCUGCUGUGAAAGCUCCUGGCUUAACCGGGAGUGGUCGGUGGAAACUGCACGUCUGGAGGACGGUAGAGGUAGGUAGAAUUCCCGGUGUAGUGGUGAAAUGCGUAGAGAUCGGGAGGAAUACCUGUGGCGAAGGCGGCCUACUGGGCCGGACCUGACGCUGAGACGCGAAGGCGUGGGGAGCGAACGGG
rnacentral:rRNA from 1 species